CCUACGGUUGGCAGCAGUGAGGAAUAUUGGUCAAUGGGCGCGAGCCUGAACCAGCGAAGUCGCGUGAGGGAAGACGGUCCUAUGGAUUGUAAACCUCUUUUGUCGGGGAGCAAAAGACGCCACGCGUGGCGUUCCGAGAGUACCCGAAGAAAAAGCAUCGGCUAACUCCGUGCCAGCAGCCGCGGUAAUACGGAGGAUGCGAGCGUUAUCCGGAUUUAUUGGGUUUAAAGGGUGCGCAGGCGGAAGCUCAAGUCAGCGGUGAAAUUGAGAGGCUCAACCAUAAAAUUGCCGUUGAAACUGGUUGACUUGAGUAUAUUUGAGGUAGGCGGAAUGCGUGGUGUAGCGGUGAAAUGCAUAGAUAUCACGCAGAACUCCGAUUGCGAAGGCAGCUUACUAAACUAUAACUGACACUGAGGCACGAAAGCGUGGGGAUCAAACAGGAUUAGAUACCCGGGUAGUC
rnacentral:rRNA from 1 species